UUUCUUGUUUCCAUUCGCGCGCUUCCUUUAUGCCCAUGAGGCCGAUGACUAUCAAAGAUAAACCAACAGCAACCUCUGUUAACGAUGCACCUUUUGACAAAAUGGAA
rnacentral:rRNA from 1 species